UCGCCCUUUCGGCGGGCGCGGGGCGGCGGGAGCGGAGCUGCUGAGGGGCUUCAGCGCAGCUCUGGCGGGGCCGCAGCAGGACCGCGACCGGCCUCGGCCUCCCCCUCUCCCGGCGGGGUCAGCGGGAAGCGCUGCGUCCCUCAUGCGCAGGAAACCGGUGCUGUUUGAGGCGGCUCCACAGCUGCGCCUGCCCCCGCUAUGCUACGGCGAGGCUCCCUCAGGGCCGGUGCCGCUUUCCCCGGGCGCUGAGCGGCUGCGGCGGAAGGAACGAGCCAGCCUGGCAGUGGACAAAAAAUGAACCAGCCAAGAUGGUGUGACUUUAAAAACGAAGGGUAAUCCUUCAGAAAAAGGCUGCUCGAGCAAGCUUCAACCUUAUCUAACUUGAAGCAGCAGUGUUGUAACCAGGCUUUGGGGCGUGGCUGAACAGCAUCCCGGUAUUUCCCACGUUUCCCGAGGCCGUGCAGAGCCGGAGGAGCCGCGGGCCAGGUGAGCUGCAGUGCUGGGAGCUGCCCAGCCCCUGCCCCAGCUCGUGUUGCAGGCGUGGCUGCAGUGCCACGUCUGUGUCAUUCGGUGGCAGACAGCAACAGGCGAUGUCUUCCCUGGUGCUCUGAGCCCUGUGAGCUCUCAGGAUUGCUCAACAACCUGACACUUCCUGAUGGCUUUUCCUGGUCCUUGGAUGGGGAAUGGUGAGGGGUGGACAGCACACAGCUGACACUGUCCUUCAGUCCUUGGUCAGGGACACCUUCCACUAUCCCAGGCUGCUGCUCCCUGGAUCCAAAUCGUGCUGUGUGCCACUGCCCCUUCUUGAGGGAUGCCAGAAACGGAGCGAGAGCAGCUCUGGGCAUGCAGGGAUGGUGACCCUGAGGCUUUGCUGCUUUCCUCACACCGGGGGUCCUGCAUGGGCACUGAGUGCUAAUGAGUGGCUCUUUAGAGCUUCCCUGUGUGAGGCACAGCAGAACCAUGGACAUUUUCCUGAUGGCAUUUGCUGGAACUGCCCUUCCCCAAGCAGCAUUCCUGGGCCAUGGAUAUUGCUUUGCUGGCUCUCAGCUGUGGAAAACGUCAAUGUUUUGCAUGAAAGUGGUUUUGAGAGAAAUUAAAAAUCUCUGUGUGCACAAGACAGCCCUUCAUCACCAAGGGCUGGUUUGUGUCAUGGCUUCAAAGGCUGGGAUAAGUCCAGAUUAUUUUUCCCUGCACUAUUAAUAGCUUGGCUCUGCACCAGGGUUGGCAAACUCACCUUGGAUUUUUAGGGAGUGAUGGAAUAGCCCAAAGCAGGCUUGAGCUAUCCUGCUCUCAAAUUAUCCCUUUCCUGAACUCCCCCAGCCAGAUUAAUUUCUAAAACCCCUCUGAUGUCAUGGCACAGAGUUUCUGCUAAAUUUGUGCCAUGUCCUUCUGGACUGAAGGAAAUCCCUGUGUAAAAGUUUCCUUGUGAACCCUUAUAACAGAGCCUUAAAAAGUGUGGUUUCAUUUCCUAUUUCAUCUUUUAUUUCCCCUGGGAUGUGAAAAAUCUUGAGACAAUCCCAAGACAAUGAGGGCAGCAGAGUCUGGAUGGCAGGGGUUAAUUAGCUCAUUAGUAUUGAUAUUAUUGCUCCCUUUUCCUGCCUGUUUUUCAACUUUCCUGACAUCCUGGGCCUUUUUUUUUUUUAU